CGUGGCACAGGUCGACGGCGCCCAGGCCGUCGUCCUCGUACCAGUCGAGCGACAGGGGGCGCAGGGCGCGUUCGAGUCGUGCGGCCACGG
rnacentral:tRNA from 2 species